CGAGCCGGCGUCCGAGAAGACGAUCUAACUUGAUCAUUUAGAGAAAGUAAAAGUCGGAACAAGGUUUCCGUAGGUGAACCCGCGGAAGGAUCAUUA
rfam:Ciona savignyi cont_45452, whole genome shotgun sequence.